rnacentral:RNase_P_RNA from 1 species
CGCCGAUGGCAGAUGAUCGCUGGUGAAUCGCAGGAUUCGCUGGAGGAAAGUCCGAACACCAUACGGCAGCAUGCCGCGUAAAAAACGCGGGCGCCGCAGUUGUAAAAUUGCGGUGACGGAAAGUGUCACAGAAAAGACACCGCCGGUUCUUUGAAAGAAGUGCAGGCAAGGGUGAAAAGGCGAGGUAAGAGCUCACCGCUCGUGGAGUAAUUCGCGAGGCAGGAAAAACCCCAUGCGGUGCAAGACAAAACAGAGGGAGGACAGCCGGUCCGUUGAUCCUCGGGUUCGUCGCAUCACGAAAACUGUAGCGGCGGUCUAUGACCGCCGAUCGCGGUUCUCGGGCGUCCCGCGCAAGCGGGAUUGAGAUAAAUGAUCAUCGCCCAGCUUCUUUGCUCGCAAAGAGCUGUGGGACAGAAUUCGGCUUACCGCCAUCUACAUAUG